UAGAGCCACUGUUGAGGGUGCUGCACCAUCCCCUAGCUUGACACAGGCCAACUGUGUGGUGAAAUCCUGGGCUGACACUUACGAAAAGGCGUGUGAAAAGCAGAACUUCCUGCAGUAUCACUCGGACAUGAGCUGCGAAGAGGAAUUGGGAUGCGGAAAAAGAAAGAAACGAAGUGCCUUGGCUUCUGAUUACAGCAGUGAACAAGAGACAACUGACAGCUCGGGUGAUGAUGCAAAUUACGAACCUCCCAGGCCACCAACACCGCCUCGACUAAUGACAAACAUUGGUGGCUAUGACACAGCUGCUGCCCACGCAUCAUUCAAGACGCCUGGAUGACACCAAAAGAAGCGCUCUGCAGGUGCAUCUGCGAGUCCCAGGCCUCCGUUCGGAAGCGCUGAUGAUCCGAGAGCGAAAGUGUGCCAUCGGGACUUCAUGCUGGCGAAUACUAAUUUUUAUUUCACAUGACACUUUUAUAGAACUUCUUCAAAUAUGCAUUUGUACUUUCCAGGACAGUCGCCUCGCAUGCUGCCAGAUUGUUAUUUCUUUCUGGAGCUUGCGAUGAGGGUAAUGAUGC
rnacentral:lncRNA from 1 species